ensembl:snoRNA SNORA11E small nucleolar RNA, H/ACA box 11G
CUGGUGUGAUCAGAGCCAGUGUCUGUCAGACCAUAGACUCUGGUUUAUACCACACCAAAGAGCAGCAGGAGACUGCAGGAAACCAGACCUCUACAGCAGAGUGUCUGGACCAGCAGACUCCAAACAUUA